rnacentral:rRNA from 1 species
GACGAACGCUGGCGGCGUGCCUAACACAUGCAAGUCGAACGGAGAUACGAUUUCGGUUGUAUCUUAGUGGCGAACGGGUGAGUAACGCGUGAACAACCUGACUCUAAGAGGGGGAUAACACUCGGAAACGGGUGCUAAUACCGCAUAAGACCACGACCCGGCAUCGGGAUGAGGUCAAAGGAGCAAUCCGCUGAGAGAGGGGUUCGCGUCCCAUUAGAUAGAUGGCGGGGUAACGGCCCACCAUGUCAACGAUGGGUAGCCGAGCUGAGAGGCUGAUCGGCCACACUGGAACUGAGACACGGUCCAGACUCCUACGGGAGGCAGCAGUGGGGAAUAUUGGGCAAUGGGCGCAAGCCUGACCCAGCAACGCCGCGUGAGGGAAGAAGGCUUUCGGGUUGUAAACCUCUGUCCUUGGUGACGAAACAAAUGACGGUAGCCAAGGAGGAAGCCCCGGCUAACUACGUGCCAGCCGCCGCGGUAA